GAAGAAGAGGAGGAGAAGAUUGGGAAAUCUGUUUCUCAUGAUGUAUGCCUUUGACACCAUGAACCAUCAGAUCCUCCAUUCCACCCUCUCAGGGUUCGUCAUCUCAGGCUCUGCACUCUCCUGGAUUGUAUUCUACCUGGCAGGUCACUCCUACCAGGUGGUGUGGAGAGGAUCUGUGUCUGCAUCACGUGCACUACUGGUGUCCCCCAGGGCUCAGUUCUAGGCCCUCUCCUCACAUGGUCUCUCCUAUCAUUGUUAUGUGGAUGCCACUCAACUAAUCUUCAAAUUCCCCCCUUCUGACACCCAGGUGGCAACACGCAUCUCUGCGUGCCUGGCUGAUAUCUCAGCUUGUAUGUCGGACCACAGGUUCGGACCACAGGUUCAAGCUCAACCUCAACAAAACGGAGCAACUCUUCCUCCCGGGAAAGACCUGCCCGCUCUAAGGCCUGUCCAUCAUGGUUGACAACUCCACGGUGUCCCAUUCCCAGAGUGCAAAGAACCUUGGCGUGCUCUGCAAACAUCAAAGCAGUGACUCGCUCCUGCAGGUUCAUGCUCUACAACAGCCAACCCCAAUAAGCGGCCCGCGGGCCAGAUCCGUCCCGCAAGAGCCAAAUGUCUAGCCCACACUGACAGCAUUGGCAUUCACUUGUUAAAAUAAACAUGAAUUUAAUAUCCGCGGCUCUGCUUUAUUUUGAAAUGAUCCCACACCUUGACCUGUGGACUUUACCGCGUGCAUACGUAAGACGUGCCUCGCGCGCUUUGCGUACUCGUCUCCACUCGACUAGCUACCUAGUGUAGUGUCAUACACACACAGUAGCCGCAGCCGCUCGCCAGUUAACCCUCUUUCAUCGAAAGGACUGACCACUUCCUCACAAAAAAAUAUUAAAUCCAGUCAAACCAACAUGGCAUUCGCCAAGAUACGCAAGGUAGACCAGGAGAACCGUCAGUUCAAAACUGACUGGACUGAGAGGUAUUGCUUUUUUUUACCGGACCACAACAGUGCUAAGCCCACAUGCUUAAUAUGCAUGCAGACUGUAGCUGUAAUCAAAGCGGACAAUCUGAAGCGGCAUUUUAACUAUAUUCAUGCUGCCAGUUUUAAUGCAAACUACCCAGAAAAAUCAGUGACUUUUUGAGCUUUUUAACUGACAACAAGGUGAUAUCAGAUGUUCCUUUUUGUGUGACAUCAUGUCUCAUCUAAAUCACCUUAACCUGCGACUACAAGGCAAGAACCACACUGUUGCUGACAUGUAUGAGGCAAUUGAAGCUUUCCGGUCAAAGCUGCACCUCCUGGAGAGAGACAUUCAUGGGAGAAAGUUGCACUUUCCACGUCUGCUUGAGCAUUGUGAGAAGAAUAAAAUGCUGGAAGAUCCAGCAAUGAAGGAUUUUGUGUCCAGGCUGGCAGAAAACUUCAAGGAAAGAUUUGAAAGCUCCCCUAAACUCUCAGCUGACAUCCUUCUCUUCGUAAGACAGUCGUUUUCUGUGUCAGCUGACGGCCAGUGGACUGCAGAGGCCAAAAAGCUGGUGCCUUCCAUAGAUGAGGCUGCUCUUCAGAUGGAAAUCUUGGAGAUGGGAACAUCUGAUUUGCUCAAAGCUCAACACAAGGAUGCACUGGUGAGUGACUUUUGGAUCAACGUGGUUCCCCAAGCUCGUUUUAAAAACACCAGAGAUAUUGCAAUGCUCCUACUCACGAUGUUCCCCUCAACAUACAUCUGUGAAUCAGCAUUUUCUUCAAUGAAUGCUAUCAAGAGCCAGGACAGAAACAGACUCUCAGAUUCACAUCUUGGACAGUGCCUCAGGAUUGCCACAACAGAAUACAAGCCUGACAUCAGAAAGGUUGCCUCAUCCCGUAGCUCUCACUUCUCUCACUGAUUGAAAGACCGUCUGAACGCAGAUAUCCAAAGCAUGGGUGUUCCAGACAGAAGUGGGCACUGUGUGUGUGUGUGUGUGUGUGUGUGUGUGUGUGUGUGUGUGUGUGUGUGUGUGUGUGAAUGUGUUUGCUGGACUUUUUGUUUGCUGACUGUUUGCACAGAAUAUGCUCCAGGGGCAUUUCAUAAUUAAAUAGUUGGUUUUGGACUAAUUUAGUAUUUUUCAUUUUUCUCUUAUGUGACUCCUAACACCACUACUAAUAAUUAUAAAAUCACAAUAGAAGUGAAAACUGAUAAAACAUAAAACUGUCGCCAAAAAAACAAACAUGUUGGCCCUCGGCUUGGCAUGCCUGACCAAAUUUGGCCCUUAGGGAAAUCUAAUUGGGGAACCCUGCUCUACAACAUCCGUUGAGUAAGACCUUUCCUACAUCCCAUCGCAAGCGCCACGUUCUGCCACCUAUGGUCUCUUGGCCCUCCCACCCCUAAGGGAGGGCAGCUCCCACACCUCCCAGUCAACGCUCUUCUCUGUCCUGGCACCCCAAUGGUGGAACAAGUUUCCCCCUAAAGUCAAGACAGCAGAGUCCCUGCCCAUCUUUUAAACACGUCUGAAACCCUUCCUCUUUGUAGAGUAUCUUAAAUCCCCCCCCACACUUUUGUUUUCCCACGAGAACUGACUUUGAUGAUGAAUACUUUCUUGAGAGAAAAUGUAAUUGAUACGAUUGUGAUGCGUUGUUGUCUCACCUAGCUAUCUUAAGAUGAAUGUACUAUUGUAAGUCACUCUGGAUAAGAGUGU